UACGAAGGGGGCUAGCGUUGUUCGGAAUUACUGGGCGUAAAGCGCGCGCAGGCGGUCUUCCAAGUCAGUGGUGAAAGCCCGGAGCUCAACUCCGGAACUGCCAUUGAAACUGUGAGACUUGAGGAUGAGAGAGGUGAGUGGAAUUCCCAGUGUAGAGGUGAAAUGCGUAGAUAUCGGAAGGAACACCUGUGGCGAAAGCGGCUCACUGGACCAUUACUGACACUGAGGCACGAAAGCUAGGGGAGCAAACAGG
rnacentral:rRNA from 1 species